rnacentral:rRNA from 1 species
AGACCCGAAACCCGGUGAUCUAGCCAUGGGCAGGUUGAAGGUUGGGUAACACUAACUGGAGGACCGAACCGACUAAUGUUGAAAAAUUAGCGGAUGACCUGUGGCUGGGGGUGAAAGGCCAAUCAAACCGGGAGAUAGCUGGUUCUCCCCGAAAGCUAUUUAGGUAGCGCCUCGUGAACUCAUCUCCGGGGGUAGAGCACUGUUUCGGCUAGGGGGCCAUCCCGGCUUACCAACCCGAUGCAAACUGCGAAUACCGGAGAAUGUUAUCACGGGAGACACACGGCGGGUGCUAACGUCCGUCGUGAAGAGGGAAACAACCCAGACCGCCAGCUAAGGUCCCAAAGUCAUGGUUAAGUGGGAAACGAUGUGGGAAGGCCCAGACAGCCAGGAUGUUGGCUUAGAAGCAGCCAUCAUUUAAAGAAAGCGUAAUAGCUCACUGGUCGAGUCGGCCUGCGCGGAAGAUGUAACGGGGCUAAACCAUGCACCGAAGCUGCGGCAGCGACACUUUAGUGUUGUUGGGUAGGGGAGCGUUCUGUAAGCCGUUGAAGGUGUCCUGUGAGGGGUGCUGGAGGUAUCAGAAGUGCGAAUGCUGACAUAAGUAACGAUAAAGCGGGUGAAAAGCCCGCUCGCCGGAAGACCAAGGGUUCCUGUCCAACGUUAAUCGGGGCAGGGUGAGUCGACCCCUAAGGCGAGGCCGAAAGGCGUAGUCGAUGGGAAACGGGUUAAUAUUCCCGUACUUGGUGUUACUGCGAAGGGGGGACGGAGAAGGCUAUGUUGGCCGGG